AAUACAAGAUGCGCCCGAAGCCACUAGGUUGAGGGCACGCCUGCCUGGGUGUCACACAUCGUCACCCCCCAGGUACAUGUACAUCGGGGAGUGAAAGUUGACUUCCCACGAGCUUGUUCUCGUGGUUGGUUGAAAAUUGAGUUCAAAGUGGAGUUUGCCACGUAAAAUGGUGGAUGAGUGAUGCUCGAGACCAAUUGCAUGUGCAUGACUUUGGCAUAUUGAACUAGUUGACCCUAUGCGUCUUUGGUGCAAACUGAAAGCGUUCUUAGCGAGACCUCAGGUCAGGCAGGGCUACCCGCUGAGUUUAA
rnacentral:misc_RNA from 1 species